rnacentral:rRNA from 1 species
UACGAGUGCCCCAAGCGUUAUCCGGAAUUACUGGGCGUAAAGGGCGCGUAGGCGGCCUGUUAAGUCGAACGUGAAAUCCCCGGGCUCAACCCGGGAACUGCGUCCGAUACUGGUAGGCUUGAAUCCGGGAGAGGGAUGCGGAAUUCCAGGUGUAGCGGUGAAAUGCGUAGAUAUCUGGAGGAACACCGGUGGCGAAGGCGGCAUCCUGGACCGGCAUUGACGCUGAGGCGCGAAAGCCAGGGGAGCAAACGGG